AUUGAACGCUGGCGGCAGGCUUAACACAUGCAAGUCGAGCGGGGUGAUGUAGCUUGCUACAUUACCUAGCGGCGGACGGGUGAGUAAUGCUUAGGAAUCUGCCUAUUAGUGGGGGACAACAUUCCGAAAGGAAUGCUAAUACCGCAUACGCCCUACGGGGGAAAGCAGGGGAUCUUCGGACCUUGCGCUAAUAGAUGAGCCUAAGUCAGAUUAGCUAGUUGGUGGGGUAAAGGCCUACCAAGGCGACGAUCUGUAGCGGGUCUGAGAGGAUGAUCCGCCACACUGGGACUGAGACACGGCCCAGACUCCUACGGGAGGCAGCAGUGGGGAAUAUUGGACAAUGGGCGAAAGCCUGAUCCAGCCAUGCCGCGUGUGUGAAGAAGGCCUUUUGGUUGUAAAGCACUUUAAGCGAGGAGGAGGCUACUUGGAUUAAUACUCUGGGAUAGUGGACGUUACUCGCAGAAUAAGCACCGGCUAACUCUGUGCCAGCCGCCGCGGUAA
rnacentral:rRNA from 1 species